AGUUAAGUAGCUUUAUGUAAAGCUUAUGUUUUGAAAACAUAAUUACAGAAGUUUAAAUCUUCUAUUAACUU
rnacentral:tRNA from 1 species